CAUCUGGGGCUUUUUUGCCGACACUGUCGGCAGAAGACGCAUUCUACUCAUUUCCAUGGCCGGCACGUUUAUUUCGGCUAUGUCAAGUGUAUUCUGUUUCAAUAUCGAAUCAUUCAUUGCAGCGCGAUUUUUCAUUGGCUUUUUUGUUGCAGGCAUCCAAGCAUCAACUUUUUCGUAUAUCAGUGAGUUCCAUAGCAGUGAAACGCGAACGAAGGCUUGUUCGUUUGUGACCGUGUUUGUACCAGCCGCUUUCAUUUAUUUGGCAUUACUGGCAUGGACCAUUAUUCCGAUGCAAUGGGAUUGGGCAGUAUUCGGAUUGAAGAUAUUACCAUGGCGCGUUUAUCUAUUUUUGAGCAGUCUUUUGAAUGGAAUUAAUUUCUUCUGCUUAUAUCAAUUACCAGAGAGCCCGGGAUUCUUACUUUCUACCAAUCGCAAAGAAGAAACAUUGAACAUAUUACGGAAAAUGUAUUCAACUAACACACAACUCGAUGGACAGCUUUAUCCAGUGAAAGAUUUAAAAGUCGAAACGACCAGAACCACCUUAUCGGAUGUGAAUGGUUUCUAUGGCGUUUUAAAAUUGAUAAAAAUUCAAACAGUGCCGUUAUUCAAGCAACCAAUCGCCGGGCUCUUUUACAAACUCUGUUACUUGAGUUUCGCUCUGAAUUUAGUUGGGAACGGAUUGUUGAUGUAGUUUCCAUAUUUUUUAACACUAAUACAGGAGCGCAAGGGUAAAAAUUUGUGCGACAUUGUCGAAGAAAAACCAGUAUCAAAGGCAGUUUAUACUUAUGCGUGGCUACAUGUAGAUUCGGAAGUGAAUAAGAAGCUCAUGAGUAUGUCUAUUGAUUGCGAAGACAAUUCAAAGACUUUGAUUUUUAAAGUGCUUUUGGGGAUGGGAAUUCUAUACGUCACGGUACUAUUUAUGAUCAGCGUUUUCAUUGACAAAAUCAAUCGCAAGAUUCUAUUCAGUAAGAGGCAUUCCAAAUGUAGAGAAAACAACUUUGACAUUAUUCCUCAUUUCUGCAUGGUUGUGGCUCUGUUUGUUUUCUUCUUUAAAUUUCAGUCAUUUGGAUAUUGAUUUGUACAGUGCCAACUGUAACGAUAUUAUUCGUACGGGAAUUCUAUACGGUGUCAAUUUCGUUCAUCAUAUUCUUGAGUACGGGCAUAUGUAUCAGUAUGAUUUUGGCGAAUUCAGUUGAUGAAUUUCCAGCAAG